rnacentral:rRNA from 1 species
CUACGGGGGGCAGCAGUGGGGAAUAUUGCACAAUGGGCGCAAGCCUGAUGCAGCCAUGCCGCGUGUAUGAAGAAGGCCUUCGGGUUGUAAAGUACUUUCAGCGGGGAGGAAGGGAGUAAAGUUAAUACCUUUGCUCAUUGACGUUACCCGCAGAAGAAGCACCGGCUAACUCCGUGCCAGCAGCCGCGGUAAUACGGAGGGUGCAAGCGUUAAUCGGAAUUACUGGGCGUAAAGCGCACGCGGGCGGUUUGUUAAGUCAGAUGUGAAAUCCCCGGGCUCAAACUGGGAACUGCAUCUGAUACUGGCAAGCUUGAGUCUCGUAGAGGGGGGUAGAAUUCCAGGUGUAGCGGUGAAAUGCGUAGAGAUCUGGAGGAAUACCGGUGGCGAAGGCGGCCCCCUGGACGAAGACUGACGCUCAGGUGCGAAAGCGUGGGGAGCAAACAGGAUUAGAUACCCGAGUAGUC